CACUAAGAAGCUAAGACCAGGUAGAAGCGUUAGCCUUUUAAGCUAAAAAUCGGUGGCUCCUAACCACCCUUAGUGA
rnacentral:tRNA from 2 species